GACGAACGCUGGCGGCGUGCCUAAUACAUGCAAGUCGAGCGGACAGAAGGGAGCUUGCUCCCGGAAGUUAGCGGCGGACGGGUGAGUAACACGUGGGCAACCUACCCUGUAGAUCGGGAUAACAUCGAGAAAUCGGUGCUAAUACCGGAUAAUCAUUUGAAGUGCAUGCUUCGAAUGUAAAAGAUGGCUCCGGCUAUCACUACGGGAUGGGCCCGCGGCGCAUUAGCUAGUUGGUAAGGUAAUGGCUUACCAAGGCAACGAUGCGUAGCCGACCUGAGAGGGUGAUCGGCCACACUGGGACAGGGACACGGCCCAGACUCCUACGGGAGGCAGCAGUAGGGAAUCUUCCGCAAUGGACGAAAGUCUGACGGAGCAACGGCGCGUGAGUGAUGAAGGUUUUCGGAUCGUAAAGCUCUGUUGUUAGGGAAGAACAAGUGCCGUUUGAAUAAGGCGGCACCUUGACGGUACCUAACCAGAAAGCCACGGCUAACUACGUGCCAGCAGCCGCGGUAAGAC
rnacentral:rRNA from 1 species